rnacentral:rRNA from 1 species
GAUGAACGCUGGCGGCGUGCCUAAUACAUGCAAGUCGAGCGAACAGACGAGGAGCUUGCUCCUCUGACGUUAGCGGCGGACGGGUGAGUAACACGUGGAUAACCUACCUAUAAGACUGGGAUAACUUCGGGAAACCGGAGCUAAUACCGGAUAACAUGUUGAACCGCAUGGUUCAACAGUGAAAGACGGUCUUGCUGUCGCUUAUAGAUGGAUCCGCGCCGCAUUAGCUAGUUGGUAAGGUAACGGCUUACCAAGGCAACGAUGCGUAGCCGACCUGAGAGGGUGAUCGGCCACACUGGAACUGAGACACGGUCCAGACUCCUACGGGAGGCAGCAGUAGGGAAUCUUCCGCAAUGGGCGAAAGCCUGACGGAGCAACGCCGCGUGAGUGAAGAAGGUCUUCGGAUCGUAAAACUCUGUUAUUAGGGAAGAACAAAUGUGUAAGUAACUGUGCACGUCUUGACGGUACCUAAUCAGAAAGCCACGGCUAACUACGUG